GCCUACGGGGGGCAGCAGUGAGGAAUAUUGAUCAAUGGUCGGGAGACUGAACCAGCCAAGCCGCGUGAGGGAUGAAGGUACAGAGUAUCGUAAACCUCUUUUGUCAGGGAACAAAGGCGGGGACGUGUCCCCGGAUGAGUGUACCUGAAGAAAAAGCAUCGGCUAACUCCGUGCCAGCAGCCGCGGUAAUACGGAGGAUGCGAGCGUUAUCCGGAUUUAUUGGGUUUAAAGGGUGCGCAGGCGGUCUGUUAAGUCAGAGGUCAAAGGCCGGGGCUCAAACCCGGCCCGCCGUUGAAACUGGCAGU
rnacentral:rRNA from 1 species